UUAAGUUAAUUGCACGUUUGCUAAUUUGCCGUAACUCUUAAUCCAUGCUACAUAGUAUUUAGAGCAUAAGUUAUAAAGUGGUACACGAAUUUAAAAGCCGACUUGCUUCUCAUAUGAAGCUAAAGCGUAUCAUUUCUAUUUCUAAGCAUGGCUAAGAACUGUCUCGUCAACUUUAAUCCAAUAGCGUGAAGCGUAACUGAGGAUUUUAUCUUCUAUAAAUUUUAAUGGAAUUUGUAAGUUAUGUUAAACAAAUAAAUAUUUUUAAUAUAAUUAAGUGCGUAUUGCAAAUGUCGUUAUAGAUAUCUUUUUGUUAUUAUUAAAAAAUGGAUAUCAUUGGAUAAAAUAUUUUUUAAAAAGAAUUUCAUGCUGAUUGUUGCAGAAUUUCAAUUAAGGAGUCUAAUCGUUAGAAAAUUAAGGGUUCUUAAUAAAUCCGAUCGAUUUAACUCGUGGUUGGACGUACCAACUACUCUCCACUAAGGUCUACUUUCCAUAUAUCUACGCCCACUAUCAACUCUACGUAGAAAGAAAAGAGAGAGAGAGAGAGAGAGAGAGAGAGACGGAGGGAGGGAGAGGGAGAGAUAAGACCAGAACAAUUUCCGGAGACUACUGCAUCCUACUUGAAUUAUUCCUUAGGUCGUCAGAGCACAAGCUUAGUAAUGAAUGGAACUCUCAAGUUAGAAGUUUCCAAGCAGUGAAAUUGCACGUGGAAAAUUGGAAAAUUUUUGAACGGGAGGUAGCAAAAAAGAAGAAGAAGAAGAAGAAGAAGAACAAAAAAAAAAAGAGAAAAAAGAGAAAAAGAGAGGGGAGAAACUAUAAUCAAACUAUCUAUUCUGCAAAACUUACAAAUCAGCAUGAUAAAGUUCUACCAUAAUGAAAUCAUAUUUAGAGUCUCGGGAGAAACGAUCUGCGACUGACUUUGCAAUUUAUAUAUUCGAUUGGGAAAAAAAUGCGUAGCUAAGGAAUGAACGAUAAAAUUUAGAAGUUAGAGAACGCCCUCGACAGUCCUUGUCGUCUUUAUCAUGUGCCUUUAGGGAUACGAUUUAUACCUGCCUUUGAAAUAUUACCAUCUCGGAAUUGGAGGAUAAGAGAGACUGAGAUAGAUAGGUAGAUAGAAAGAGAGAGAGAGAGAGAGAGAGAGAGA